CAUAGCGCCACUGAUGUGCAAAAGAACAAGAAGUAAAAAUGCCAGAGUUCCUCCUCCUCUCAUUUUUCGUGGUAUAUGGACAGAACUGGUGGAAUGUGAGACUCAGGGGAUAAGAAAGAUGUGGCACUCGAUUCUGCUUGUUAAAGAGUAUCCUAAUUUUUCAGGUGACAUGGAAGUCGUCUUGACCUAGAGCUCUAGAACUGUGAACAAUCUUAUCUCUACUUAACCUGCAAAACCAUCAGAUAUUUCUGGGCAGAGAAUACAAAGCUACAUGGGCCAGCAACAUGACAAAUGCUAACAGUAAGGAAUUCAGGGGAGCUGCCUGCCCACACGUGAUGAAAGGCUCUGUGACUCACCGUGGU